UGUGUUUUAUACCGCUAAUGUACAAUCUGUUAUGUUCUGAAGUAAUUUGUAGUUGUGUGUUUUAUAUUUCUUAUGUACAAUUUGUUCUGUUCUGAAGUAACUUGUAGUUGUGUGUUUAAUACUGCUUGUGUACAAAUUGUUAUGUUCUGAAGUAAUUUUUAGAACUUUGUUUGUUUUAUACUGCUUAUGUACAAUCUGUUAUGUUCUGAAGUAACUUGUAGUUGUGUGUUUUAUACUGCUGGUGUACAAUCUGUUAUGUUCUGAAGUAACAUGUAGUUAUGUGUGUUUUAUACUGCUGGUGUACAAU
rnacentral:lncRNA from 1 species